UGGGCAGGCCACACCGGGUUCUGUGCUGUGUGUAGUGCCCUGCAUAGGAAGGUCCUGAUUACCAGUAUGAUGUGUAACAGUGCCUGCCUGGGUAGAGUAAUGCUCCACAAGAACAUCUUUCCAGUGGGCCCUGUGUCUUAA
rnacentral:ncRNA from 2 species